rnacentral:rRNA from 1 species
UACGGGGGGAGCAAGCGUUGUUCGGAUUUACUGGGCGUAAAGGGCGCGUAGGCGGUCGUGACAAGUCACUUGUGAAAUCUCCGGGCUUAACUCGGAACGGUCAAGUGAUACUGUCGUGCUAGAGUACAGAAGGGGCAACUGGAAUUCUCGGUGUAGCGGUGAAAUGCGUAGAGAUCAGGCAGAACACCUGGGGCGAAGGCGGCCAGCUGGGCCGUCCCUGACGCUGAGGCGCGAAGGCGUGGGGAGCGAACGGGG